GGCUUACUGCUUCUGUCUGAGGAAAUCUCAAAAUCUUCUCUCUCUUCCCUCUACCCUGCUAAAAACAAAUAAGUUUGGGGUCACAAUAAAAGAGACCACCACUCUAACUGAAGUUUCUGGACAAGGCAGUCCAAACAUUUCUAUGUAAACACUAUCUAAUGAUUAUAACAAUACAUAGAAAAUCUUUCACUACAGCUCACCAUAAAGAGUACGGAACAAUUUCUGAGCAAUAACACAACACAUCAAGAGGACAAAGGGAAGGAGAUGUGUGGGCAUCUCCAUCUUAACAUCCCACCUUCUGAGAAUUGAUGCCCCUCUCCCUACCAUUUCUGGUCUCAACAGUAAUGGCAUUCGGGGUAGAUAUAAGAGCUUUGACUUUUAGUCACUAAGAAGAAUAGAGGUGGACCAUUUUCUGUGGAAGUGUGAGAAGCAUUUUGGUACCUCCAAAAGCUCUCUGGGGAGACUUGAUGAGCCUGAAUGAGAGGGACAAGAGGCCUGCAGGCCUGUGGGCAGGUGAGAACCCAGGAGAUGGAUCUCAGUGGGCCUCAAAGGAGCAAACAACCUACUUCAAAUUCAUGGCGGCCAUCAUCCCUCUUGAUCACGCCCAUCGAAUAAGACUUCCCCCACCUCUCCUCUUAACCCUCUCCACCCCCUCCAUCAACUCUGAGAAGAGAUGGUUCAAACAUCCAAGCCCUGGGUUGAGAUCAAGCAGGCACACAGUCCCCUUUUUAGAUGGUUGUUCUGAGAUGCCUAUGAGUUCAGGAGGUGCAGUCACAGCCCUAUCUCCAAACACAUGGGCCUUAUCUCCUACCCCACCUCAGACUACUAACUCUAUCAAUUUUCUUCAAUUCCAGCUGCAAGGUGCUCAGUGUUGUGACAAGCUGUGGGUCCUCAAAGCUGAGUACUGAAGGCUGAUUUCUGCUUCUGUUUUCAAGCCUUUCUGGACCCACUGAGGGAAGACAUUUUGUUGCUUGAAUUCAGAGGAGAAAGACAAGGGUGUUCCAGUGGCCAGCAUCCUCCUUCCUCCUGAUUUUUCAUAACAAGUGGUCAUUUCACACAGAAAUCCUGGGAGGUGAGCUGUAAAGAAUAAGCUUGGAUGGACAAGUGAGUGGCCUCUCGGCUUUGGGUGGGGGACACUGGUCCCUACUCUGGAGGAAAAAGCUGACAUAGACAGGUAAAAUUUCCCUAAAGUGACUUAAAGAGAACUGGGAACAUCUAUGUUGAAAGAUAAUUUGGUCUGCUGUAGCAUCAACAGCCGCAGCAGCAGCAGCAACAACAAUACCAUACACAAAGAGAGACAGAAGAGUGCCACAUGUGUUUGUUUUGGCACACUGGGCAAUAUUUAAUCCAUUUAGGGAGACUCAGAACUGAUAAAGUGGGAACGGGGAUCUGGGGAUUGAGACUCUUUCCUAGGAACUGAAGAAAACUGAUAGUAGUCUGAGGUAGGGUAGGAGAUAGGCCUGUGUGUUCUGGAGACAGGGCUGUGACUGCACCUGCUGGACUUGCCAGUCAGGUUGACCAUCUGGAAAAGGUGACUGUGUGCCAGUUGAUCUCAACCCAGGGCUUGGAUGUUUGAACCAUCUCUUCUCAGAGUUGAUGUAGGAGUGGAGAGGGGCGAGAGGAGAGAUGGGGAGUCUUACUAGAUGGCGCAUUCAAGGGAAAUGAUGGCAGCCAUGACUUUGAAGUAGGCUGUUUUCUUCUUUCAGGCCCACUGAGAUCCAUCUCCUGGCUUCUCAUCUGCCCACAAGCAUGCAGUUGCAUUUAUCCCCCUGCUUCACACAGACUCAUCAAGCCUCCCCAGGGAGUUUUUAAGGUGCUGAAAUGAUUCUCACACUUCCACAGAAAACAUUUACACACACAUACAUACUGGGAGGGGGGAAUAAAAAAAGUGAAAAAAGGAAGCAAAGAAGUAAAAAAGAAAAGGAAGGAAGGAAAAAGGGAAGGAAGAAAGGAAAAAAGGAAGGAAGGAAGGAAGCCCUAGGAAGGCAAAUUCUUCAAGCACAACUCUUUCAGAAGACUUUGGAGGAUGGUUCCAUCUGGGAAACUAGAUCUGGAGGAGAGUGGGCAACCCCUAGUCACUGCACACCCUCUGUCUCCUGCAUUCCUUCACUUCACCAUUAGCACCAUGGCAGCACAGAAGUGCUUCUUGCAAAUGGAAUGGAAGGCACUUGAGGCUGCAGCCACCUGAGGGGCUCAAUGCAGAAGCACACAGAGAGCUCAGCCUGGGCCUUUGGGAACAUGGAUCCUUCUGUUAACCAAUAACUUCAGUCUUGGCCAUCUGUGCCCAUAGCUGCUUUGAGCUUUAGAAUCCUGAUACCUUUCCUUGUUUCUGUCCCCUGAGGAUGACUCUCACUUCUUUAGAAAAAUCAGUCCUUAGUUUCCCUGUGGCUUACUGCUUCUGUCUGAGGAAAUCUCAAAAUCUUCUCUCUCUUCCCUCUACCCUGCUAAAAACAAAUAAGUUUGGGGUCACAAUAAAAGAGACCACCACUCUAACUGAAGUUUCUGGACAAGGCAGUCCAAACAUUUCUAUGUAAACACUAUCUAAUGAUUAUAACAAUACAUAGAAAAUCUUUCACUACAGCUCACCAUAAAGAGUACGGAACAAUUUCUGAGCAAUAACACAACACAUCAAGAGGACAAAGGGAAGGAGAUGUGUGGGCAUCUCCAUCUUAACAUCCCACCUUCUGAGAAUUGAUGCCCCUCUCCCUACCAUUUCUGGUCUCAACAGUAAUGGCAUUCGGGGUAGAUAUAAGAGCUUUGACUUUUAGUCACUAAGAAGAAUAGAGGUGGGCCAUUUUCUGUGGAAGUGUGAGAAGCAUUUUGGUACCUCUAAAAGCUCUCUGGGGAGACUUGAUGAGCCUGAAUGAGAGGGACAAGAGGCCUGCAGGCCUGUGGGCAGGUGAGAACCCAGGAGAUGGAUCUCAGUGGGCCUCAAAGGAGCAAACAACCUACUUCAAAUUCAUGGCGGCCAUCAUCCCUCUUGAUCACGCCCAUCGAAUAAGACUUCCCCCACCUCUCCUCUUAACCCUCUCCACCCCCUCCAUCAACUCUGAGAAGAGAUGGUUCAAACAUCCAAGCCCUGGGUUGAGAUCAAGCAGGCACACAGUCCCCUUUUUAGAUGGUUGUUCUGAGUUGCCUAUGAGUUCAGGAGCUGCAAGGUGCUCAGUGUUGUGACAAGCUGUGGGUCCUCAAAGCUGAGUACUGAAGGCUGAUUUCUGCUUCUGUUUUCAAGCCUUUCUGGACCCACUGAGGGAAGACAUUUUGUUGCUUGAAUUCAGAGGAGAAAGACAAGGGUGUUCCAGUGGCCAGCAUCCUCCUUCCUCCUGAUUUUUCAUAACAAGUGGUCAUUUCACACAGAAAUCCUGGGAGGUGAGCUGUAAAGAAUAAGCUUGGAUGGACAAGUGAGUGGCCUCUCGGCUUUGGGUGGGGGACACUGGUCCCUACUCUGGAGGAAAAAGCUGACAUAGACAGGUAAAAUUUCCCUAAAGUGACUUAAAGAGAACUGGGAACAUCUAUGUUGAAAGAUAAUUUGGUCUGCUGUAGCAUCAACAGCCGCAGCAGCAGCAGCAACAACAAUACCAUACACAAAGAGAGACAGAAGAGUGCCACAUGUGUUUGUUUUGGCACACUGGGCAAUAUUUAAUCCAUUUAGGGAGACUCAGAACUGAUAAAGUGGGAACGGGGAUCUGGGGAUUGAGACUCUUUCCUAGGAACUGAAGAAAACUGAUAGUAGUCUGAGGUAGGGUAGGAGAUAGGCCUGUGUGUUCUGGAGACAGGGCUGUGACUGCACCUGCUGGACUUGCCAGUCAGGUUGACCAUCUGGAAAAGGUGACUGUGUGCCAGUUGAUCUCAACCCAGGGCUUGGAUGUUUGAACCAUCUCUUCUCAGAGUUGAUGUAGGAGUGGAGAGGGGCGAGAGGAGAGAUGGGGAGUCUUACUAGAUGGCGCAUUCAAGGGAAAUGAUGGCAGCCAUGACUUUGAAGUAGGCUGUUUUCUUCUUUCAGGCCCACUGAGAUCCAUCUCCUGGCUUCUCAUCUGCCCACAAGCAUGCAGUUGCAUUUAUCCCCCUGCUUCACACAGACUCAUCAAGCCUCCCCAGGGAGUUUUUAAGGUGCUGAAAUGAUUCUCACACUUCCACAGAAAACAUUUACACACACAUACAUACUGGGAGGGGGGAAUAAAAAAAGUGAAAAAAGGAAGCAAAGAAGUAAAAAAGAAAAGGAAGGAAGGAAAAAGGGAAGGAAGAAAGGAAAAAAGGAAGGAAGGAAGGAAGCCCUAGGAAGGCAAAUUCUUCAAGCACAACUCUUUCAGAAGACUUUGGAGGAUGGUUCCAUCUGGGAAACUAGAUCUGGAGGAGAGUGGGCAACCCCUAGUCACUGCACACCCUCUGUCUCCUGCAUUCCUUCACUUCACCAUUAGCACCAUGGCAGCACAGAAGUGCUUCUUGCAAAUGGAAUGGAAGGCACUUGAGGCUGCAGCCACCUGAGGGGCUCAAUGCAGAAGCACACAGAGAGCUCAGCCUGGGCCUUUGGGAACAUGGAUCCUUCUGUUAACCAAUAACUUCAGUCUUGGCCAUCUGUGCCCAUAGCUGCUUUGAGCUUUAGAAUCCUGAUACCUUUCCUUGUUUCUGUCCCCUGAGGAUGACUCUCACUUCUUUAGAAAAAUCAGUCCUUAGUUUCCCUGUGGCUUACUGCUUCUGUCUGAGGAAAUCUCAAAAUCUUCUCUCUCUUCCCUCUACCCUGCUAAAAACAAAUAAGUUUGGGGUCACAAUAAAAGAGACCACCACUCUAACUGAAGUUUCUGGACAAGGCAGUCCAAACAUUUCUAUGUAAACACUAUCUAAUGAUUAUAACAAUACAUAGAAAAUCUUUCACUACAGCUCACCAUAAAGAGUACGGAACAAUUUCUGAGCAAUAACACAACACAUCAAGAGGACAAAGGGAAGGAGAUGUGUGGGCAUCUCCAUCUUAACAUCCCACCUUCUGAGAAUUGAUGCCCCUCUCCCUACCAUUUCUGGUCUCAACAGUAAUGGCAUUCGGGGUAGAUAUAAGAGCUUUGACUUUUAGUCACUAAGAAGAAUAGAGGUGGGCCAUUUUCUGUGGAAGUGUGAGAAGCAUUUUGGUACCUCUAAAAGCUCUCUGGGGAGACUUGAUGAGCCUGAAUGAGAGGGACAAGAGGCCUGCAGGCCUGUGGGCAGGUGAGAACCCAGGAGAUGGAUCUCAGUGGGCCUCAAAGGAGCAAACAACCUACUUCAAAGUCAUGGCGGCCAUCAUCCCUCUUGAUCACGCCCAUCAAAUAAGACUCCCCUACCUCUCCUCUUAACCCUCUCCACCCCCUCCAUCAACUCUGAGAAGAGAUGGUUCAAACAUCCAAGCCCUGGGUUGAGAUCAAGCAGGCACACAGUCCCCUUUUUAGAUGGUCGUCCUGACUUGCCUAUGAUUUCAGGAGGUGUAGUCACAGCCCUAUCUCCAAACACAUGGGCCUUAUCUCCUACCCCACCUCAGACUACUAACUAUCAAUUUUCUUCAAUUCCAGCUGCAAGGUGCUCAGUGUUGUGACAAGCUGUGUGUCCUCAAAGCUGAGUACUGAAGGUUGAUUUCUGCUUCUGUUUUCAAGCCUUUCUGGACCCACUGAGGGAAGACAUUUUGUUGCUUGAAUUCAGAGGAGAAAGACAAGGGUGUUCCAGUGGCCAGCAUCCUCCUUCCACCUUAUUUUUCAUAACAAGUGGUCAUUUCACACAGAAAUCCUGGGAGGUGAGCUGUAAAGAAUAACCUUGGAUGGACAAGCCCACUGAGAUCCAUCUCCUGGCUUCUCCUCUGCCCACAAGCAUGCAGUUGCAUUUAUCCCCCUGCUUCACACAGACUCAUCAAGCCUCCCCAGGGAGUUUUUAAGGUGCUGAAAUGAUUCUCACACUUCCACAGAAAACAUUUACACACACAUACAUACUGGGAGUGGGAAAUAAAAAAAGUGAAAAAAGGAAGCAAAGAAGUAAAAAAGAAAAGGAAGGAAGGAAAAAGGGAAGGAAGAAAGGAAAAAAGGAAGGAAGGACGGAAACCCUAGGAAGGCAAAUUCUUCAAGCACAACUCUUUCAGAAGACUUUGCAGGAUGGUUCCAUCUGGGAAACUAGAUCUGGAGGAGAGUGGGCAACCCCUAGUCACUGCACACCCUCUGUCUCCUGCAUUCCUUCACUUCACCAUUAGCACCAUGGCAGCACAGAAGUGCUUCUUGCAAAUGGAAUGGAAGGCACUUGAGGCUGCAGCCACCUGAGGGGCUCAAUGCAGAAGCACACAGAGAGCUCAGCCUGGGCCUUUGGGAACAGGAUCCUCCUGUUAACCAAUAACUUCAGUCUUGGCCAUCUGUGCCCAUAGCUGCUUUGAGCUUUAGAAUCCUGAUACCUUUCCUUGUUUCUGUCCCCUGAGGAUGACUCUCACUUCUUUAGAAAAAUCAGUCCUUAGUUUCCCUGUGGCUUACUGCUUCUGUCUGAGGAAAUCUCAAAAUCUUCUCUCUCUUCCCUCUACCCUGCUAAAAACAAAUAAGUUUGGGGUCACAAUAAAAGAGACCACCACUCUAACUGAAGUUUCUGGACAAGGCAGUCCAAACAUUUCUAUGUAAACACUAUCUAAUGAUUAUAACAAUACAUAGAAAAUCUUUCACUACAGCUCACCAUAAAGAGUACGGAACAAUUUCUGAGCAAUAACACAACACAUCAAGAGGACAAAGGGAAGGAGAUGUGUGGGCAUCUCCAUCUUAACAUCCCACCUUCUGAGAAUUGAUGCCCCUCUCCCUACCAUUUCUGGUCUCAACAGUAAUGGCAUUCGGGGUAGAUAUAAGAGCUUUGACUUUUAGUCACUAAGAAGAAUAGAGGUGGACCAUUUUCUGUGGAAGUGUGAGAAGCAUUUUGGUACCUCCAAAAGCUCUCUGGGGAGACUUGAUGAGCCUGAAUGAGAGGGACAAGAGGCCUGCAGGCCUGUGGGCAGGUGAGAACCCAGGAGAUGGAUCUCAGUGGGCCUCAAAGGAGCAAACAACCUACUUCAAAGUCAUGGCGGCCAUCAUCCCUCUUGAUCACGCCCAUCAAAUAAGACUCCCCUACCUCUCCUCUUAACCCUCUCCACCCCCUCCAUCAACUCUGAGAAGAGAUGGUUCAAACAUCCAAGCCCUGGGUUGAGAUCAAGCAGGCACACAGUCCCCUUUUUAGAUGGUCGUCCUGAGUUGCCUAUGAGUUCAGGAGGUGCAGUCACAGCCCUAUCUCCAAACACAUGGGCCUUAUCUCCUACCCCACCUCAGACUACUAACUAUCAAUUUUCUUCAAUUCCAGCUGCAAGGUGCUCAGUGUUGUGACAAGCUGUGGGUCCUCAAAGCUGAGUACUGAAGGCUGAUUUCUGCUUCUGUUUUCAAGCCUUGCUGGACCCACUGAGGGAAGACAUUUUGUUGCUUGAAUUCAGAGGUCAACAUUUGUUUGUCUUUUUUCAUACUGACCUUUUUUAAAGGCAGUUUUUUAAAUGACAUUCCUGCACUGCAGUAAACUUUCUUUUCCUUUCUCAUUAACACACAUCCCUGUCACAUGCAGACAUUUGAUAUGUGUUAAGUGUACAGUGCACAUUGUGAGUGCUUCUUCUAACUUUUUCUGUCCAAAUUCUCCUAUCUUUGUCAUUAAACUUUAUUUUAAGUGUAUAGGCAUGUUCUUUUUCUGUGAAAUUCCCCUCAACACGAUUUGCUCUAAAAUUUCCCCUGCUUCACUUGCUCUCCUUCUGCUUUUUAAGAGCUGUUAUGGAUUCUGCUCUAGCUCCCAACAAAGUCCAGUUGUGCUCUAUUGCUUAGAAUUCUCAACCUUAUUAAGUCUUACAUUCUGUCUUCUCAGGAGAAAGACAAGGGUGUUCCAGUGGCCAGCAUCCUCCUUCCACCUGAUUUUUCAUAACAAGUGGUCAUUUCACACAGAAAUCCUGGGAGGUGAGCUGUAAAGAAUAAGCUUGGAUGGACAAGUGAGUGGCCCCUCGGCUUUGGGUGGGCGACACUGGUUCCUACUCGAGGAAAAAGCUGACAUAGACAGGUAAAAUUUCCCUAAAGUGACUGAAAGAGAACUGGGAACAUCUAUGUUGAAAGAUAAUUUGGUCUGCUGUAACAACAACAGCAGCAUCAGCAGCAACAACAAUACCAUACACAAAGAGAGACAGAAGAGUGCCACAUGUGUUUGUUUUGGCACACUGGGCAAUAUUUGAUUCAUUUAGGGAAACUCAGAACUGAUAAACUGGGAACGGGGAUCUGGGGAUUGAGACUCUUUCCUAGGAACUGAAGAAAACUGAUAGUAGUCUGAGGUAGGGUAGGAGAUAAGGCCUGUGUGUACUGGAGACAGGGCUGUGACUGCACCUGCUGGACUUGCCAGUCAGGUUGACCAUCUGGAAAAGGUGACUGUGUGCCAGUUGAUCUCAACCCAGGGCUUGGAUGUUUGAACCAUCUCUUCUCAGAGUUGAUGUAGGGGUGGAGAGGGGCGAGAGGAGAGAUGGGGAGUCUUACAAGAUGGCACAUUCAAGGGAAAUGAUGGCAGCCAUGACUUUGAAGUAGGCUGUUUUCUUCUUUCAGGCCCACUGAGAUCCAUCUCCUGGCUUCUCUUCUGCCCACAAGCAUGCAGUUGCAUUUAUCCCCCUGCUUCACACAGACUCAUCAAGCCUCCCCAGGGAGUUUUUAAGGUGCUGAAAUGAUUCUCACACUUCCACAGAAAACAUUUACACACACAUACAUACUGGGAGUGGGGAAUAAAAAAAGUGAAAAAAGGAAGCAAAGAAGAAAAAAAGAAAAGGAAGGAAGGAAAAAGGGAAGGAAGAAAGGAAAAAAGGAAGGAAUGAAGGAAGCCCUAGGAAGGCAAAUUCUUCAAGCACAACUCUUUCAGAAGACUUUGCAGGAUGGUUCCAUCUGGGAAACUAGAUCUGGAGGACAGUGGGCAACCCCUAGUCACUGCACACCAUCUGUCUCCUGCAUUCCUUCACUUCACCAUUAGCACCAUGGCAGCACAGAAGUGCUUCUUGCAAAUGGAACGGAAGGCACUUGAGGCUGCAGCCACCUGAGGGGCUCAAUGCAGAAGCACACAGAGAGCUUGCCUGGCUCCUUUGGGAACAUGGAUCCUUCUAUUAACCUAUAACUUCAGUCUUGGCCAUCUGUGCCCAGAGCUGCUUUGAGCAUUAGAGUCCUCAUAACUUUCCUUGUUUCUGUCCCCUGAGGAUGACUCUCACUUCUCUAGAAUAAUCCGUCCUUAGUUGCCCCGUGGCUUACUGCUUCUGUCUGAGAAAAGUCUCAAAAUCUUCUCUCUCUUCCCUCUACCCUGCUAAAAACAAAUAAGUUUGGGGUCACAAUAAAAGAGACCACCAAUCUAACUGAAGUUUCUGGACAAGGCAGUCCAAACAUUUCUAUGUAAACACUAUCUAAUGAUUAUAACAAUACAUAGAAAAUCUUUCAAUACAGCUCACCAUAAAGAGUACGGAACAAUUUCUGAGCAAUAACACAACACAUCAAGAGGACAAAGGGAAGGAGAUGUGUGGGCAUCUCCAUCUUAACAUCCCACCUUCUGAGAAUUGAUGCCCCUCUCCCUUCCAUUUCUGGUCUCAACAGUAAUGGCAUUCGGGGUAGAUAUAAGAGCUUUGACUUUUAGUCACUAAGAAGAAUAGAUGUGGGCCAUUUUCUGUGGAAGUUUGAGAAGCAAUUUGGUACCUCCAAAAGCUCUCUGGGGAGACUUGAUGAGCCUGAAUGAGAGGGACGAGAGGUCUGCAGGCCUGUGGGCAGGUGAGAACCCAGGAGAUGGAUCUCAGUUGGCCUCAAAGGAGCAAACAACCUACUUCAAAGUCAUGGCGGCCAUCAUCCCUCUUGAUCACGCCCAUCGAAUAAGACUUCCCCCACCUCUCCUCUUAACCCUCUCCACCCCCUCCAUCAACUCUGAGAAGAGAUGGUUCAAACAUCCAAGCCCUGGGUUGAGAUCAAGCAGGCACACAGUCCCCUUUUUAGAUGGUCGUCCUGAGUUGCCUAUGAGUUCAGGAGGUGCAGUCACAGCCCUAUCUCCAAACACAUGGGCCUUAUCUCCUACCCCACCUCAGACUACUAACUCUAUCAAUUUUAUUCAAUUCCAGCUGCAAGGUGCUCAGUGUUGUGACAAGCUGUGGGUCCUCAAAGCUGAGUACUGAAGGCUGAUUUCUGCUUCUGUUUUCAAGCCUUUCUGGACCCACUGAGGGAAGACAUUUUGUUGCUUGAAUUCAGAGGAGAAAGACAAGGGUGUUCCAGUGGUCAGCAUCCUCCUUCCACCUUAUUUUUCAUAACAAGUGGUCAUUUCACACAGAAAUCCUGGGAGAGAGUCUACAAACUUGGCUGAGCAGGUAAGAGCUCUUGCUGCUCUUCCAGAGGAUCCUGGUUCCAUUUCCAGAUGCCACAUGAUGGUUCACGAUUGUCUUUAACUCCAGUUCCAGAGGCUCUGACACCUUCUGGCCUUACUGGGGACAUGAUUCUGUUCUCAAUGUACUAAAGCUCUCAGAUACCAGAGGAACAGAGCUCUUAAGUGAUCUUCAAAAGUCACUUAAAGGAAAAGAAAUAACUGUGUCACAGGAUUUAUCAGGACUCCUCAUGAACUUAGGAAUUCAUUUCCAGCCCUCCUGCUGUGUCCCUACUGGAAUUGAGUUUCCCCUGGAUGGUUCAGGAUAGAAGCUCACAGCUUACAAGCAAGAUUCCCACUGCUUUCACACACCAAGGCUUGUGCUAGUAAUGUCAGCCCGGGUCUGUCCUUUUUAAGGUAUUAUUUUAUGUGUAUAGGUACUGUACCCUCCUAUAUGUUGUGAACCAGGUGUGCGCAGUGCCGUCAGGGGCUAGAACAAGGCAACAAGUGAUUGUGAGUUGUCAUGUGUGUGCAGGGAGUGGAGCUCGAAUCCUCUGGAAGAGCAGCCAAGUGCACUUAACAACUGAGCCAUCUCUCCAGCUCCACUGUCCUCCCUAAGAUGGAAUACUAAAAACCAAAGAGGGAAUCAAUGAUGCAGACUCUUGUAGAAAAUAUUGAAUCCAAAAUAGAGGCCCCCUGGAUGUUGUGUUUUAACAAGCAGUCAUCCAAAAAAUAAAGAGAAUUUUUCAGCUACCCA